AGCCUGUGGAAAGAAAGAUAUCUGUAGUUUGCUUUAUCGACUGAGGCUUGGGUGUGCAGAGAGAGGAUGGCCAGUUAUGUUAUCCUGAUGAUUGUUUUUAAUUUUUUUUUCUUUUCGCCUAGCGCUGUUUUUUUUUUCUGUUUUAAGUAUGUGUAUAAGUAGCGCGUCGAUGCUGUAUGUACAAUUUGUCGAAGUAGCUGUAAGCUCGUUUACACAAUUUUUACACGAAUUACAAGUUAGUUGUAUGGAGUAAAUUAAUUUGUUGAUUAUUUGUAUAUUUACAAAAACAUAACCAAAAAAGUUUCGCUUCGAGAUCUGUCAGGAUUCAGGAGGCGCUAACCAACAACUUUUACGUAUUAUUCGCUGCCUCCACAAGAAUACUCCUAACGGAUAUAUUUUUAAAUUAGUGAAAUUCAGUACGCGAAACUACGAACGUAAUGGCAAAUAGAGUCGUAGAGGUUAAUAAACGAGUUAACUCACUGUUGAUUGUCACUUUCAUUUCCCCGACUAAUCCUUCUUCACCUGCGGCUCGUAAUAUUCGAUUAAUUCUCCAAUCUAACUAAAUUAAUUCAUGAGUUGGAAGGAAACACUUGAUACGCCGGGAUAAAAUACUCUCCGUUGUUGCUGUUGUCCGGGAUACAAUUUGACAAA